rnacentral:rRNA from 1 species
GACGAACGCUGGCGGCGUGCUUAACACAUGCAAGUCGAACGGAAAGGCCCUGCUUUUGUGGGGUGCUCGAGUGGCGAACGGGUGAGUAACACGUGAGUAACCUGCCCUUGACUUUGGGAUAACUUCAGGAAACUGGGGCUAAUACCGGAUAGGAGCUCCUGCUGCAUGGUGGGGGUUGGAAAGUUUCGGCGGUUGGGGAUGGACUCGCGGCUUAUCCGCUUGUUGGUGGGGUAGUGGCUUACCAAGGCUUUGACGGGUAGCCGGCCUGAGAGGGUGACCGGCCACAUUGGGACUGAGGUACGGCCCAGACUCCUACGGGAGGCAGCAGUGGGGAAUAUUGCGCAAUGGGCGGAAGCCUGAUGCAGCAACGCCGCGUGCGGGAUGACGGCCUUCGGGUUGUAAACCGCUUUCGCCUGUGACGAAGCGUGAGUGACGGUAAUGGGUAAAGAAGCACCGGCUAACUACGUG